UACGUAGGGUGCGAGCGUUGUCCGGAAUUAUUGGGCGUAAAGAGCUCGUAGGCGGUGUGUCGCGUCGGCCGUGAAAACCUGCAGCUUAACUGUGGGCUUGCGGUCGAUACGGGCAUCACUGGAGUUCGGCAGGGGAGACUGGAAUUCCUGGUGUAGCGGUGAAAUGCGCAGAUAUCAGGAGGAACACCGGUGGCGAAGGCGGGUCUCUGGGCCGAUACUGACGCUGAGGAGCGAAAGCGUGGGGAGUGAACAGG
rnacentral:rRNA from 1 species